rnacentral:rRNA from 1 species
UACGUAGGGUGCGAGCGUUAAUCGGAAUUACUGGGCGUAAAGCGCACGUAGUCGGCUUUGCAAGUCGGUUGUGAAAUCCCCGGGCUCAACCUGGGAACUGCAUCCGAGACUGCAUUGCUAGAGUAUGGGAGAGGAAAGCGGAAUUUCGGUGUAGCAGUGAAAUGCGUAGAUAUCAGAAGGAACACAGUGCGAAGGCGGCUUUCUUGGACCAAUACUGACGAUCGAGGUGACGAAAGCGUGGGGGAGCAAACAGG